rnacentral:lncRNA from 14 species
CCUUUUUCUUUUUUUUUUUUCCCUUGAUAUAUUCCCUUAAAAAAAAAAAGGAAAGAAAAAAAAGAAAGAAGAUGUUUUAAAAAUGCAAGCGGCUUGCCCAGCUGCACACACCCACCCUCGCCUCCCUCCCCCGGCUUGCGCACACCGCACGCUCGCACUCGCUCGCUCGACCGCGCUCGCUCGGGUGUCAAAACCCGACGGGCACCCAGCCUGGUGCGGGCACUGCCCCUGCCCCUUCCCCUGCCCCGAGCCCGCCCGGGGGCCGCCGCUUCCCGUUCCCAACCACCCCCCCCCCCCGGUCCUUCUUCCGCCUCCCACCGCAGCGCUUCUCCCCCUGCUCUUGGCGCUGAAGAUGGAGCUUCCCCCGCUUCCAAAUGUUAUGGUGCAUAUUGACUCCAUGGACUACCCAGACAAGUAAUGCGGUGGGGUAAGAUGCUAUGGUUUGUAAUUAUCUGUUAUGCACGUAAGGUUGAACUUACAGGCUCACUCUGAAUUUGCACAGUCAGUGUCCCUAGUACAUGGAAGGAGACUUAAGCUUGCUCAGAAGAGGUGGAGACUGAUUUAUACAAGGUAGAUUGAGGGGAAAAGUCACCUAAAAGUGAUUUGCCCAAGGAAGUGCAGCACAUCAUCUGCAAAGCAAUAGUUCAUGUCUCCUGGUUUAUAGGGCUGCUGUACUUAACAGUAUACAUUCUUCCUCUGUGGAACUUUCCAGGCUGUGAAUAAGGUUACUGACAUGCCAGGAGACCCUCUCGUGUACCCCCAGAUGUAAUCAUAAAAGAACAUGUUAUUUCUGUAAGCUAUUUUACUCUUGUCUUUUGUUGUCAUUCACCCAGUGCUCUGGCAACUGUAUUUGAUGUGCAGGGACAUUAUAACCAAUUAAAGAAAAGGGUAUUUUUCAAGAUGCUAAAUGAGUCUCUGAUAUACAUGGUACUCAAAGUGACUGUAGAAGGCUGAAACUGCUAAAAUUGGGUUCAUUUAACAGCUCUUCCCGCAAUGUAGUCAAUGAAUCUCUAAUGUGCUAGGCUGAAAUGUCUGACAUUUAUAGAAUGAUUAUUUGCUGGCCUUUGUAUCUGUGAUCGACUGUGUCAUGCUCACAGAGCUCCACCUAUAGCAGUGGGCUCAUGGUACACUGAAUAUAUAUUGUAUGUUCUUUAAGGGGUGGGGGGCAUAGAAGGGUGAACAUAGGUUUUGCUGUGCAAUAUGUGCUUCUCAUGAUGCUAUCCUUUAAGUAAGGGGUAGCCUCCAGCAGCAACUGUUGAAGGAUGGUUUGGGCUUCUGAGACACAAGGAGGGAUUUGCUCUGGCACAGGUUGUUUCUUGCUGCUGACUCUCAGACCAUGGUCAAACAGCCAACACGCUGACCAACACUCUGCAGUUUGCUGCUGUAUGCCUUUGGAAGACGGGACAGAAGGGGUGCCC